rnacentral:rRNA from 1 species
UGGCUCAGAGCGAACGCUGGCGGCAGGCUUAACACAUGCAAGUCGAGCGGGCGUAGCAAUACGUCAGCGGCAGACGGGUGAGUAACGCGUGGGAACGUACCUUUUGGUUCGGAACAACACAGGGAAACUUGUGCUAAUACCGGAUAAGCCCUUACGGGGAAAGAUUUAUCGCCGAAAGAUCGGCCCGCGUCUGAUUAGCUAGUUGGUGAGGUAAUGGCUCACCAAGGCGACGAUCAGUAGCUGGUCUGAGAGGAUGAUCAGCCACAUUGGGACUGAGACACGGCCCAAACUCCUACGGGAGGCAGCAGUGGGGAAUAUUGGACAAUGGGGGCAACCCUGAUCCAGCCAUGCCGCGUGAGUGAUGAAGGCCCUAGGGUUGUAAAGCUCUUUUGUGCGGGAAGAUAAUGACGGUACCGCAAGAAUAAGCCCCGGCUAACUUCGUGCCAGCAGCCGCGGUAAUACGAAGGGGGCUAGCGUUGCUCGGAAUCACUGGGCGUAAAGGGUGCGUAGGCGGGUCUUUAAGUCAGGGGUGAAAUCCUGGAGCUCAACUCCAGAACUGCCUUUGAUACUGAAGAUCUUGAGUUCGGGAGAGGUGAGUGGAACUGCGAGUGUAGAGGUGAAAUUCGUAGAUAUUCGCAAGAACACCAGUGGCGAAGGCGGCUCACUGGCCCGAUACUGACGCUGAGGCACGAAAGCGUGGG